rnacentral:lncRNA from 1 species
CUCUCCCACUAGGGGUAGCUGUUGCCUGAACGCCGGAGCGCUCCCCUCUCGCCGCUCGCCUCGCCCGGCGCAGCCCCGGCCGCCAGGCGCACCCGUCCCGUGCGUCCCCGGACGUUGCUCUCUGCCCCGGGAACGUCGAGACUGGAGCGCCCGAGCCGAGCCACCUUCGCCGACCCGGAGCGCUGCGGCUCGACUCACCGCGGAGGCGCUCGGACGCGAGAAGCGAUUUCUGCUGCCUGGGGCCGUGGCGGUGGGGGCUGCGGAGCCCAGGAGCUUCCCACCCAGAGGAAAGGCAGCCUCACCCUCACUCUUCUCAGCGCGGACACGCCGCCCUCACCGCCGUGGGUGAGGGUCCUCAGGCUACACCCCACGGCUUGGAAUUCCACAACAUUGGACGAGGCACUCAGGACGGCCUGGCUCCCACAGACCCCUGCAGGAUGAACAGCCUCCCUGAGUCCAGGACGCCAGUGUCCGAAGAUUUCUGAAGGUUGUUGCAUUGAACCCAGGAAGGCUCCAGAGUGCCGGGGACUCUGGGGCAAGCC